rnacentral:misc_RNA from 1 species
UCAGAUAUGGCCUUCAGAGAUGUCCUCUCCAAUCCAAUCACCUUCACAGCUUUAGCUGUAAUCCUCUCUCUUCUACUACUAGUCCAAGUCCUCAUUAGAAAGUUGAAGAAAAAGCAGAGAAAGAAGCAGUGCCAUCCUGUUGGUGGCACGAUCUUUCGCCUGCUUCUCAACUUCACUAGAGGGCAUGAUUACUUGGCUGAUCUUGCUGGGAAAUAUAGGACUUACAGGUUGCUCAACCCUCUCAGAAACAUGAUUUUCACUGCAGACCCGUCAAAUGUUGAGUACAUACUCAAAACAAACUUUGAAAAUUAUGGCAAGGGAGAUUAUAACCACGACAAAUUAAGGGAUUUACUAGGCAAUGGAAUUUUCACUGUUGAUGGUGAGAAGUGGAGCCAGCAAAGAAAGAUUUCAAGCUAUGGGUUCUCCAGAAAGGUUUUAAGGGAUUUUAGCAGUGUGGUCUUCCGGAAUAAUGCGGCAAAACUUGCAAAUAUUGUGUCUGAAGCUGCAAAAUCCAGCCAGUCAAUGGAUAUGCAGGAUCUGUUCAUGAAAUCAUCCUUGGAUUCAAUAUUUAAAAUUUUAAUUGGAGUUGAGCUAGACAGCUUGUGUGGCUCUUAUGAAGAAGGGAUCAAAUUUUGCAAUGCUUUUGACGAUGCAAACGCAUUGUCCCUUUGGCGAUAUGUAGAUGUGUUGUGGAAGAUCAAGAGGUUUCUAAACAUUGGAUCCGAAGCUACAUUAAAGAAACAUAUCAAAGUGGUUGAUGAUUUCGUUUACAAGCAAAUCAAUAGUAAACUAGAGCAAAUGCACAACUUGAAAGAUGAUUUCUCGAAAAAGAAAGACGACAUUUUGUCAAGGUUCAUGCAAGUGAAUCAGGCUGAUCCAACAUACUUACGAGACGUAGUUCUUAACUUUGUGAUUGCUGGCAGAGACACAACAUCAGCUACUCUAUCUUGGUUCAUCUACAUGCUCUGCAAAAAUCCUGCUGUGCAGGAAAAGGUUGCAAAGGAGGUAAGAGAAGUGACUGAAGGGAAACAAACCAAAAAUUUUGCAGAUUUUGCGACCAGCGUUGAUGAAGAAGCUCUAGAAAAGAUGAAUUAUCUCCAUGCAACUAUAACUGAAACCCUCAGACUCUAUCCUGCUGUGCCUGUGGAUGCAAAAACUUGCUUUGCUGAUGAUAUUAUGCCAGAUGGUUUUAGCGUGAGCAGAGGAGAUAUGGUGGCUUACAUACCUUACGGCAUGGGCCGGAUGAAAUUCAUUUGGGGUGACGACGCUGAGGAGUAUAAACCUGAGAGGUGGCUUAAUGAGGACGGUGUGUUUCGCCAACAAAGCCCUUUCAAGUUUACAGCCUUUCAGGCAGGGCCACGAAUUUGUCUUGGAAAGGAAUUUGCCUAUAUGCAAAUGAAGAUCUUCUCAGCUGUCUUGUUGGAUUAUUUCAUUUUCAAAUUAAGGGAUGAAAACAAACCUGUCAAUUGCAGGACAACGUUCAACCUUCGCAUUGAUGGAGGGCUCCAUGUUUAUGCGCUUGAUAGAUAAAAAAAAUAGUUAAUGUUGUCUUGAAACUGUAUAAUGCAUCUUGCUAAGAACC